UUCGAACCAAUCAUAUUAUCCUCUCUGGCGUCCAUGGGCGUGACUAACCGCGUCUGUCUGUUAAAGGUAGCAGGUUGUACAUGGCGAGCGGUUUACUCACUGAGGGUUGGUGAUUGGUGUAAUGGAAGCCGUCUCUGAACCGCAUUUAAUGACGGAGAACUACAGAAGUGGAGAGAAAACGCAGCACUGAGCAACUUGUAGACUUCACACCCGACUGUAGAAUCCCUUCUAUUGUGUGCUGGAAGAUCGCUGGACUUGAAGCAACUCCAAAUGGUGGCCUGUUUGUCCAAAGCCCAGGCUGACCCCCCACCCCUUCAACCUUUGCAGCAAUGCUGGCAGCACUAUUUCCCAAAGACAACCUCUGGAUAUGACGCUGAGCACGUGCACUCAACUUCUUCUUUGGUCGACCAUGGCGAGGCCUGUUCUGAGUGGAACCUGUCCUGUUAAACCGCUGUAUGGUCUUGGCCACCGUGCUGCAGCUCAGUGUCAGGGUCUUGUGCCCAAAGCCCGUGGUGGUGACAGUGCAUGGCGUUUGUGUGGAAGCAGGUCUGUUGGGAGUGUUAAGUACCAUCAUCUCAUACACUCACCACAACUCUGGGAAGUUCCAUCCAUAUUGUUUGCUGUCACUUUUCCUGCAAAGCUUUAACCAUCAGAGAGUUAUCUUUUACUGGGGCUUUUAGCUGCAGGAGACUGAAUUACUAAGUUUUUUUUUUUUUGUGGAUCUGAUCAGGGCACACUCUGAACAAUUAUUUACAUUUGCAGUUUGUUGAAGAUUAAAUAAACCACAGUGAGCAUCAGAUGUCUGGUUUUAAUACAAAGUUUUAUGAUGAACUAUUUUAUGAUAUUACCAUCUUGUCAUUUAUCAAAGAAGAGCUACAAAACCUGAAAUUUGUUCAUUUUUAGACAGAAAAAUUCUGCAGUGUAGCUCUUCUAGUGGGCUUUCCCACUGGAUGUUUAGUCCAACACAGAGCAGUUUGCAUGAAAAGUUGGUAAUGUGACCGUCGUAAUGUGGACUGGGAAGUGCACUGCGGUACCGAACCCGAGACUACCUGUAGAAGGUGGUCCGAGUUCAGUUACAAUGGAACUGUGAAUGUGAAUUGUCCCAUGAAUGUGAACGUAACUUGUAUCCGGGUCCGCACUUGUUCAGGAAGUAGAGUAACCUGUGCUGAAGGCCUGUUGUGGUGAUGACGUGUCAUGACAUGUUUUGGCCCAAAUCUGCAGUAACUUUGAAAAAGUGGAAGCUCCUCUGAAUAUUGUGGAGUUUCUUGAUUUUGCGUUAAUUUCUGUGAUCACAAAAAGGUGAAAUUCUGGACUGACACAUGGAAGAUAUGGAAUGAUAACAGAAGAAUGUGACUUUGGGUUGUACCAUGUAUUUUUUUCAUGUAGCUUUAUUAUUUAGUAUAAAUGAAGGCAAGUGUGUGUUCUGUUCUUCAUCUCUGCAGUCGUGUGUUCCCUGAUAGUCCAUGAUUGCUGGAGCUCUGGAAAUAGCAGGUGAGAUUGCAGGCCGGAGUCGCGUCGCUGUCCAAGGAACCAAAAUCAACCUCCUCUACUCCUGAGACCACAGUGUGACUGAGAGCCUAGACUACAUGGCUACUUGGAACAUGAACAUGUUGCAGACACAGGAUCUUAUGAAGUCAGCGCAGGCAGCCCUGGAAAAGAAGAGUCCAAAAGACGUGCCCUUCUCCAAGCUUUAAAGGAGAAGAUCCAGGGCUGUUGAAGCUGCGGUGGAACUGAGACAUCAUCAUCCACAUAUCUUCAGUUCUUCUUGCUAAGAGAACGAGAAACUCGGACACAACAGUACAUCCUGACCAUUGGUACUGUGUACACAUCAACAUACACACACGUCUCCAUGCUGGACAUCUCAGGAGCUUUCACACAGUGCUAGGAAUAUCCCGGGACAGAGAAACGCACCUUCUAAG